rnacentral:rRNA from 1 species
AUUGAACGCUGGCGGCAGGCCUAACACAUGCAAGUCGAACGAGUGGCGGACGGGUGAGUAAUGUCUGGGAAACUGCCUGAUGGAGGGGGGUAACUCCUGGAAACGGUAGCUAAUACCGCAUACCAUCGGAUGUGCCCAGGUGGGAUUAGCUAGUAGGGGGGGUAAAGGCUCACCUCGGCGACGAUCCCUAGCUGGUCUGAGAGGAUGACCGUCACCACUGGAACAGAGACACGGUCCAGACUCCUACGGUAGGCAGCAGUGGGGAAUAUUGCAAGAUGGGCGCAAGCCUGAUGCAGCCAUGCCGCGUGUAUGAAGAAGGCCUGCGGGUUGUAAAGUACUUUCAGCGAGGAGGCGUUACUCGCAGAAGAAGCACCGGCUAACUCCGUGCCAGCAGCCGCGGUAAUAC